rnacentral:lncRNA from 1 species
GUCAACCGGCCGCGGAGGUCGUUCUACGCAGGCGCAGAGCUGGAGGUCGCGCAGGGAGGAUUAUCUGGGGUUUUACAGUACAGGUUGGUGUCUUCCUAAAGGUGAAAUUAAUGUUUUCGGAGGCUGUACCCAGAAAGCGACCCUGCGGGGAGAAGUACGCCAAGCAAAGCUUUCCCAGAUGGGAGUUUCUCCUGUCGAAAUAAGUUUCUUCCUCCAGACAACGAUGACGCACAUUCCAAAAAUUCCUUAUAGCACUAGAAGCUAAGAAAUGCAUUACUGACCCCACAGCGGUAUUGUACAUUUAAUACAGAGUGCGUAUGAUUUUGAAUUCAUUAAGCGUCGGUAUGCUGGUAGAUGAGUGAUGAAGAAUUGCAAAGAAUAAGAUUAAGUAAAAUACCUGAAGGAUUUGUUAUUUUAUUGUUGCAAGGUGUAAGCACAGACACUAGGUAGACUUCAUCACAGAGUUAGUGCUUUACAAAAUAAUAAAAUAAAUAAACAAUACUGGCAAACCCCUAGCCAUAAAAAAGAAAAAGAAAAGAAAAGAAAGAAGAAACUAGGAUUAAUAAAAUUAAAGAUUAAAAAUAGUUAAGUGUCAAGUCGACAAGGCUGGCCAGAUUGCGAACCUCGGGAAUACACCUGCCUCCACAUCCCUGGAACUGAGUCUACAAAGGUGCCACCAUACCCGAAUUUUCUACAUGGGCUCUGAGCUGUAACUUCUUUUCUCACGCUUGCAAGGUAGGCUAAGAUCAAACCCAGGUCCUUGGCAAGAGCAGCUAAUAUUCUUAAUUUCAUUUUAAAAAUAUUUUGCGUUAUUUGCAUAUUGUUUCCAAGCCCUGUGUGUCUUUACAUAUUCCUCACAAUAUGUAUGUUUUUUGAUGACUAGAAUGCAGGGGAGUCACAGGAGACUUCUGAUAGCAGGAUAGAAGGCAAAUUGGCCUCCAGCUCUUUCCCUUAGAACACAGCCAGUAGGCAGUAAGGAGCAGAACAGAGAGACUCUGGCCAUGCCCAGAUUCUGUCCCACUGCAAGUCCCAGCUAACAGCCACUAAUACUCAGUGACUACAGAGAUUUAAACCCAUGAUUUCUGCCAGACCCCUGUUCUGACUGAAUGGAGAUAGGUUGUCCCUGACCACCUCUGUCUGUAUUAUACAUUCAUGUGAAAAUGCACACUUCUAACUGGUAGGUUUGGGGUGGCUAACCGCAAAACCUUGAUGCUUGACAUACUGCCAAUAGUUUUGAAGCCCCUUCUAUAUCCUUCCCCGUUUGCACCUUCCUCCUCCCUUCCCAACUAUUACCUAGACUUGAUGCUCUUGCUUCUUGACUACAUUUUAUAUGUAUAUGUACAUGUAAAUGUACUGUUACACAGAUGUAACAGUAAACUAGUUAAAUCAUAUUCUCUAUGCUUUAUGUACUUAUUCAAAUCGAUGCAGGUUUUCUUUGUUUAUAUAAUCUUAAACUCCAUGUGUGUGUGGGGAGCACAAAGGAAAGAGACUGAACUCAGAUAGCUGCAUUUCCACAGAAAGUGCUCUGACCCUCUAAGCCAUCUUGCCAUUAUUUUUGUUCUUAAAAUGCUUAUAUGAUUUUUCUCCCUUCUACUGCUGGAGACUGAACCUAGGGCCUUGUAAAUGCUAACCUAAGCACAAGCUCUCCCACUGGGAUGCCCUAUGACGCAGAGGGCAUCCAAUCACCAAAUAAAUAGGUCAUUGAAAUAAAAUACAUUGACAGGAUACAGAAAUUUGUAAUGCAAGUCACAUUUUAAUACAGUUUUAAAAAGACUUCCCAAUGUAACUACAAAUUUCAUCAGGAAAAAUAUCUCAAAGAAAUAACCAUUAGGACACUUUUUUUUUUUUGGUGAAUCCUUGGCUUAUUAUCUUGAGAUGAUAAAGGUAUCAAAGGAGCCAACAUUUUGACACUGUGAUAUGACAUCGUCAUCUACAGAUGUGCUGGGAUGCAGGUUACACAUGCCCUACUGAGACUUUCUGCGUGAGCAUUUUAUGCUCUAUGCACUAUUCCCUGGCAGCUUCUUAUAAAUAGAACUGUUGACAGGAUGAAACAGGAAAUAAAGCCCUCCUAGUAAGUUGGUAACAUUUGCAAGACUACACUUUUAAACUUUUUGUUACUACUGUUAGUAGUAAAAUCCACCACCCCCCAUAGAAAAAUUCAGCAAAACUUUUUAUUAAUAAUAAAGAAUGUAAUCUAACUGCAAUAAAAUCUCUGUGUUUG